rnacentral:tRNA from 1 species
GACAGCUCAGUUGGUUAGAGCAUGGUGCUGACAACGGCCAGGUUGCAGGUUCGAUCCCCGUAUGGGACA